rnacentral:rRNA from 1 species
AUUGAACGCUGGCGGAAUGCUUUACACAUGCAAGUCGAACGGUAGAGGGGGCAACCCCUUGAGAGUGGCGAACGGGUGAGUAAUAUAUCGGAACGUGCCCAGUCGUGGGGGAUAACGUAGCGAAAGUUACGCUAAUACCGCAUACGAUCUAAGGAUGAAAGCGGGGGAUCGCAAGAUCUCGCGCGAUUGGAGCGGCCGAUAUCAGAUUAGCUAGUUGGUAGGGUAAAGGCCUACCAAGGCGACGAUCUGUAGCGGGUCUGAGAGGAUGAUCCGCCACACUGGGACUGAGACACGGCCCAGACUCCUACGGGAGGCAGCAGUGGGGAAUUUUGGACAAUGGGGGAAACCCUGAUCCAGCAAUGCCGCGUGAGCGAAGAAGGCCUUCGGGUUGUAAAGCUCUUUUACCAGGGAUGAUAAUGACAGUACCUGGAGAAUAAGCUCCGGCUAACUCCGUG